rnacentral:siRNA from 1 species
UGACUGCAGAUCAAUAGGUCA